rnacentral:rRNA from 1 species
AUGCCGGACACCAUGCUGGAGGACCUGCCCGAGUGGCUCGUCGUCGACGAGAUCCUGGUCCGGCUGCCACCCAAGGACGUGCUCCGCUGCCGCGCCGUCCGCAAGUCGUGGUGCGGCGCCACUUCCACCGACAAGUCCAUCCUGGACAACCACCGCCGCCAGCCGUCGCUCCCCAUCGUCGAACACGACGAGGGCAUCUCCUGCCUCGCCGCCACCAGAGCUCAGAAGAUACUACGGCCCAUCGUCCGGUACAGUCCCGAUCCAGUUUCCAACAUCGCUUUCUGUGAUGGCCUCCUCAUCCUGUCGCGGCAGUCCAGCUUCUACAUCUGCAACCCGGCCACCCGCAAGUGCGCUCCCCUGCCGCGUCCUCCGCUGCGGCCAGGAUUCAGGGCCCCCAACGUCGUCGCCUUCUACCAGCACGACGCAUCCCCCCGAGAGUACCGGGUGCUUUGGGUUUUCUCGGCACACAUGGCGAGGCGCACCAGGUACUUCGUCCUCCCGGUGGGAUCGGACCAGCCAAGAUGCAUCCAAUGGCCGACAGUUUUACAGAGUUAUCCCGCUUCCUGUGACCUCCCACCAGUCCACCAUCGUGGUGCCCUGCACUGGGAACUGAGCCUCGGCAUAACGGUGUUGGACACCGUAACCGAGACAUUCCGGCACAUGAACCACGGCGGCGUUUUUUCACUGUUCGAUCUUGGUGGCGACCUUGCUUUGCGCCACACGUCCGGUGACUGCCUCACUCAGAACAUUUGGGUGCUGCAGGACUAUGACGCCGAGACGUGGGCAUUUCGAUACCGGAUUGACCUGCGAGCGAUGGAGGUGUCGCCGCCGCUUCCGCUUGAUUUCGCGGACGCUUAUUUCGCCCCUAUGAUGGCUGUGAUCAACGAGCGUGAGCUGUUGAUCCAGCAUGGUGGUGACCGCCUGUUGCAUUGUGACAUCGAGAGUCUGUUUUUAGGAAAUGUGGAAAGCCAAGACCAUGAAAGCAGCUUGAAUCGGUUUGCAAACAGUUUGUCACUCACUAUGCAUCGCCUCCAAGAGAGCAUGAUUUCGCUUCCGUUGUUUGAGAUGCAAGAAGAAGAUGCCAUGAACAAGGAGCCUCCGUUCAUCAUAGUUCUGUAA